UACGUAGGGUGCAAGCGUUGUCCGGAAUUAUUGGGCGUAAAGAGCUCGUAGGUGGCCUGUCGCGUCGGCUGUGAAAACUCGGGGCUCAACUCCGAGCUUGCAGUCGAUACGGGCAGGCUAGAGUUCGGCAGGGGAGACUGGAAUUCCUGGUGUAGCGGUGAAAUGCGCAGAUAUCAGGAGGAACACCGAUAGCGAAGGCAGGUCUCUGGGCCACUACUGACGCUGAGGCACGAAAGCGUGGGGAGCAAACAGG
rnacentral:rRNA from 1 species